rnacentral:tRNA from 1 species
GGGCCCGUAGCUCAGUCAGGACAGAGCACCGGACUUUUAAGCUGAAGAUCACAGCAGAGAGAUCCGGUGGUCGCGGGUUCAAUUCCCGUCGGGCCCG